rnacentral:lncRNA from 1 species
UCCUAACAGUGGUGGCUUUCAAAUUCCUCAACCUAGACCUCUGGUCAUGCCAAUGAUGCCAUCUGUUCGGCCACCUCCGAUGCAAAUGAGUUCUGGACAACAUAUGGGUGGUCAACCACCACCAAUGCCUCCAUCAUAUCCUAUGAAUAACCAAGGAAUUCCCAUACCUCCACCACCAGGAUCCCAGUUCACUCCUAUGCCUGUUCCACGACCUUAUGCCCCACUCUCUGGCCCACCAUCAGGAAUGCCAAUGAUGCAUCUGCCACCAUUGCCUCAGGGAGUGCCGCCGCCACCACCACCCGAUGAAGCUCCUCCUCCACUUCCAGAAGAACCAGAACCAAAGAGGCAGAAGCAUGAUGAUUCCACUCUGAUCCCUGAAGAUCAAUUUCUUUCCCAACAUCCGGUAUGGACAUAACAAUUACCUUUCUCUCUCUCAUGUAUAUAUAUAUAUAUAUAUAUAUAUAUAUAUAUGCAUGUGUGUGUAUAUAUAUAUGUGUGUGUAUGUAUACCAUCCUGGAAACAACAUCUUUGCUUGCAGGGUAAGGCUGCUACAUCUACCCUCUUCAGACCCCACUAAGUGGGUGCUGAGUGCACUGGGCCGCCCUUAUAUAUAUAGCAUUUUAUAUACCAUCAGCUCGGAAUUUAGUAUGUACUGUCUGUUUGUAGGCUUAGAUUGCAUGUAAAUUGGGAAAUAAUGAUUUGAGUGGUUGCAUAGUUUUAUUCUUGACCUUCUGCUAACCUUUUUGUGCUGUUUGAUAUAAAACUAAUUAUCUUGUUCCUUCAAUAAUAUUUGUUUUAUACACACCACUUCCACGAUUUGGAACGUUGAUACCUUUUGUCUUUUUCCCAUAUGCCAUUUUAGAUUAUGGUGUGUUUUCUGGUAUAAUAUAAUUUUCUGUAAAUAAUUGAAGUCAACCUUUCAGUUAUGAUUCUUUGUUUCUUAUUUUUUUUAUGCUAUUUUUGUAGUAUCUUUCCAGUUCAGAUUCAAUUGAAUCACAAGUUUUUUCAUUUAUUUAUCUAAUGCUGUCUUGCAGAUCUGAGUAGUAUUUUAUUGGUUGGGUUGACUACUGUAACCGUCAGUGUUAGAUAUGUUUGUUCUGACUGAUAUUUUGUUUUCUUCGCUCCAGGGACCUGUUCGUAUUAGCGUAUCUGUUCCUAAUGUUGAUGAAGGAAAUCUCAAAGGACAAGUGCUGGAAAUUACGGUGCAGUCUGUGUCUGAAACUGUUGGCAGUUUGAAGGAAAAAAUUGCUGGAGAGGUCCAGCUCCCUGCUAACAAGCAGAAAUUGAGUGGAAAACCGGGCUUUCUCAAGGAUAACAUGUCACUUGCCUAUUACAAUUUUGGUGGAGGAGAAACACUUACACUCACUUUAAGAGAGCGUGGUGGUAGAAAGAGAUGAACAUAUUGCUUGCAUAGCUGUUCAAGAAGGUUGUUGUAAACUUAGCCCCAGUAUGAGGCAUAUGGAUUACUAUUGAUAGACUUGUUGAUAUCUUGAUAAAUUUUAUGUUGAAUGCUUUCCAUCUAUUUUAUUCCGAGGUUUCUUUUGAAGUUUUUAUUGUUGUCUUAAAAACUGAUGUUAAUUCUCAAAUACAGAUUUUCGCACCUUGGCGCUUGUCCAUUGAUCGGAAUGGGAAGUAGCAGAGUUCCUUUAUCUAAUCCGAUCAAGUCAAAUUACAUAAUAUUGUUCUGUUUUGGCAUUUCAUUUGACUUGUUAAAUAAUUACUGACUUGUUCUUAUUUGAUGCUCCUUUGCUGUUGGAGGGACCAGUUUACAUUUUUUGAUUUUCUUAUUUUGUUCAUCCAUUCUUGCAAUUAUCAUGGUGAAGUAGUGAUUUAGGAAUUUCUGUCUUAUUUUCUCCUUCUAGUGUUUAGGCUGUCUUAUAUUAUCGGGAUAUGUUCAUAUGAGAGACAGUUGGAUAGUUGGUUAGAAGGCCCUUUCAGUUGCUGAGCAUAUGUACCUGCAACUUGUGCAUCUUCUUUGAGGUUUUAGUUAUGAGGUUGUUUUACUUGGUUGCCAUUUAUCCUUAAGUAAUAUAAUUUCAAAUAGUGUUUAGGAUGGUUGUUGUUUUUUGAUUUUUUUGUUUUGUCAUAACAGAAAUCCUCCUUGGACUAAUAAGAAAGGGCUUGUGCAGCUUACCCUGUGUGUCUUUGAAUGGAAGGAGGCAGGUAGUAUGGUCUAAAGUCUUCUCUGCGCGAUAAUAAUAUGCAUAUGUUAGGAUCUUUCAUUUUUUAUUCUUCAAGUCUUGUUCUGAUGGCAGUUUGUACCUGCCAGUUUAUUGCAGAAUGGAACAGUUUUGGUAUUUUAUGUUGAACCAGGAAAAGAAGUUGAAAUGGAAAUGGAUGAGGAAGAGGCCCAGCUUGUUGAAGAGGGCAUGAGAGCAGCUACUUUGGAAGACAAUGAUGACAGAGUCAAGAAUGAAGUCAGGGUUACUGAGGAUCCUGAACCACCGAUGAGGAUUGUGAAGAAUUGGAAGAGGCCAGAGGAUAGGAUUCUUGCAGAAAGAGAUCCGACCAAGUUUGUUGUUUCUCCUAUCACUGGUGAGCUAGUUCCCAUUAGUGAAAUGUCAGAACACAUGCGUAUUUCUCUCAUUGAUCCCAAGUACAAAGAACAAAAAGAAAGGAUGUUUGCCAAAAUCCGAGAGACAACACUUGCUCAGGAUGAUGAAAUCUCAAGAAACAUUGUUGGUCUUGCUCGAACACGUCCUGAUAUCUUUGGUACCACGGAGGAAGAAGUUUCAAAUGCUGUCAUGGCUGAGAUUGAGAAAAAUGAUGAGCAACCUAAACAAGUUAUAUGGGAUGGUCACAGUGGCAGUAUUGGCCGCACUGCAAACCAAGCUUUGUCACAGAAUUUUGGUGAGAAUCAAAAUGAUGCUUCUAACAAUGAAGCCAAUAACCUUCCUGGUCCUGCUGCACUUCCUCCUAGACCUGGAAUGCCUUCUAUUCGCCCUCUUCCACCUCCACCUGGACUGGCACUGAAUCUUCCUCGUGGUCCUCUCAAUGUAGGUCAGUAUUCUGCUCCUAACAGUGGUGGCUUUCAAAUUCCUCAACCUAGACCUCUGGUCAUGCCAAUGAUGCCAUCUGUUCGGCCACCUCCGAUGCAAAUGAGUUCUGGACAACAUAUGGGUGGUCAACCACCACCAAUGCCUCCAUCAUAUCCUAUGAAUAACCAAGGAAUUCCCAUACCUCCACCACCAGGAUCCCAGUUCACUCCUAUGCCUGUUCCACGACCUUAUGCCCCACUCUCUGGCCCACCAUCAGGAAUGCCAAUGAUGCAUCUGCCACCAUUGCCUCAGGGAGUGCCGCCGCCACCACCACCC